CGCGCCGCUAGGACCCCAUCGGCCUCCAGCUUCGCGCCCUGGGGCCGCGCGGCUGCGGGGGCGGGCAGGCGCUAUCCCUGGCCCCUGCUCGCCCGGCCGCCCUGGCACCGAGGCGGCUACCGGAGCGCGCUCGGCGGCUGCGUUCCGAGGCGCCAGCUGCCAUGAUUGCGGGCAGCGGGGCGCGCGCGCAGGCUCGGGCCCGGCUCGGAGACCCCAGGCGGACCGACGGUCCCUGGCCUGUGCGCAGACCCGUGCGCGCCGCGGACAGCGGCUAGGGUCGCCGGGCUCGGUACUGCAGGGGCCAGCGUGUGCCCCGGAGCUCUAGACGAGGUCCUGGGACAGAGCUUGGGGUCGACGGCGGCGGCGGGCUUCCCCCAGGGCAGGGUGCGCACCAGGGCGACCCCGCGGCGGCUUUGCGGACAGCGCCCGUCCGGCAGAGGGAGGGGCGCGGUGCCAGAAACAACUUCCUGCUCCCCUGGCCCAGGGCGUACGUAGGAGCUGCGGGGAGAAGUUCUAGGCCGCAGCUUCGCUCUCUCAGAGCCGAUUACACUGCAACACCCCGGGGCCGCGCGAUUCCUUCCCGCGCCCCCUCCCGGGGGGUCUCGACAGGCCGGGCUCCAGGGUCCCGACCCUGGUUAUAACACCAAGGAGGCCGCAGCAGCUUUAUCCUGCCGCCUCGGCGGUGGCGCCUGAGUGCUUUCCCCGCAGAGAGGCAGGCCUGGGCCUCUGGCGCUCGGGGACAACACCGGGUCACUAUGCUCAGAACCCCUCUCCCUGUCCGGGCAUGAACCUCUCUUAGAGCCAGAUGGACCUGGCUGUCCCCGGACGCCCGCGACGGGGGCCCAAAGGGAACAAGGCCUCCUGGGCCCCAUCCCAAUGUCUCUCUGUGCCUGUCUCCCCCCCCCCCCCCCCCCAGCCGGCCUUGGCAUUCUAACCAGUGUCCCUUGACGUCACAUCUCGCCAUUUCUGUCAACCAAUUGAAACUUGCUCGUUGUCAUAAAAAUAUAUAUACUUUUUAUGCCAUUGGUACAUUCAAAAA